GAUCUGCUCAAUUACAAUAUUAAAUAAUUAGGGCAAAUUUGAAAAAGAAAAAGUAAAUUACUAAAUUAAUCCCCAAAAUUUGUUAUUUGUCGUAAUUUGAUAUUACAAUUUGGUUCUUGGCAUUUUAUAUUUUAUUUCAAAUAUUUAGUUUGAUUCUCUUUUUUGUUAAAAAAUAGUUAGAUUACAUUUAUAUAUUUUAAAAGACAAUUCAGAAAAAUGGAUAUUCUUGUUAAUAACAUAGAAAAAAAUGAAUUAACAUAACGUUAAAACAGCACCGAAUAUAACAAUUACGGAUACUGAGAAGAAUUAAAAGAUAAAUUUAAAAAAAAAAAAAAAAAAAAAAAAAAAUUGGAAGCAGAAAUUUGAAAAAUGAACCUGGUCGGAGACAAAGAAAAGCCAGGCUUUAGUUACCAAGCAUUUGAUCCAUGAGGAGAUAGCAGCAAGGAGAGCAUAACAACCAGUUACAGCACUAAUCAAAAUCAUGUACCUCACUGAGAGGAAUUACACAGAGCCUGAGAGAAGAGUCAAGGAGCUUCAACGAUGGUGGUUUAUGGUGAGUGGAAUUUGCUUCACUUUGCUCAAGGUCUCUUCUCAUUUUUUCCAAAAAACAGCAAAACCCAGUUUCACUCUUGCAAGAAAACUUAAUGGGUCUGCUAGAGAUAUAUAUAUAUAUACAUACAUAGAUACAAGCAUAUAUGAGAUGUAUGUAUAUGUGUAAUCUUUGUUGUGGUGUGAAAGGCUUUUAGUGGAGAAUUAGUGGUUUGUGCAUUUUUGGAGAAAGGGAA